ensembl:lncRNA
ACCAUCUUCUCCUUUCUAGCAGAGAGACUAUUUACAGUUAUAGAACUGCUUCGGUUGAUACAGAAUGCUUGUUUAGAUUUACUAAAAGACAGGGGAAAUAGGCAAGCAUUAGAAAAAACUGCAAUGGAAGACUAUUACAGGAAACAGAAUGACAGUGUUUGGUUGAACGUCACAGAUUUGUCUUUCUUGUAAUAAACCAAGUCUUUGUCUUUCUUUGUUUUCAAAGUAGCAGGAAAAUCAGGGUUUGGACGGUCAAAAUUCAGUUUUAAGCCAUCUGGAGUCAUCUUCUUUCUGCUAGCAUUGUCAAGUGUUUGACCGUGUGCUUUUGAGAAGAUGAGUAAGUGUAAGAAAGAGUUGAGUGAGAGAGAGAGAGAACGGCUGCUCGUCCGCAGGGCCAGCGGAGACAACGCCUCUCAGCUGGUUCAUAUGGAAAAGAUGCUACAAGAAACCAAAGGCCUGCUGGAGAAGAAGACAGAGACGGAAUCAGAAAGCAACGCCUGUGGCGACACUUUGGUGUCUGAUCUGGAGCAGAAGGUCCAGCGCAGCAAGCGAGACCGUCGUAACUCCCUCCACCGCACACAGCUGCUGGAGAGUCAGAUGAAGACGGUUCGCGGUGAGCUCGUGGGCACGCUUGACCACCUGCAGGAGCUGCGCAACAUACUGCGACGCUCACAGCAGAACGCCGAAGAGCGGGAAGCAGCCAUGCAAAAACUGGCCGCAGGGCUGAGGUGAGACGCCACCUGUCUGCCUGCAGUUCAUGGGUUACCACAUCCAUUCAUCCCAUCAUAAGGACUUUUAAGCAUUGUUCAUCUGAAAUAUCUAUUAGACUGCACAUCCAGAAUGAUGUCAUUUUUCACAUUGGCUCAUAUACAGUCCUGUGCAGCCAGAUGCUGUUGUAAUAUCUAUGUUAAAUGAUUAAAGCAUGCCACAAUUCUUUACAAGGCAUGUUUUUACUCUCCAAAGAUAGAAGCAGUUCUACCAUUUUGGUUGAUGAGAACUCUGAUGUCUCUGGAAGCAUCCUGUUUUUAUUUCCUGUUGUUAGCAUAAUGCAGCCUUAAACCAUAAUUUUCAAUUAUAUAUAGCUAGACAAGUACAUAGACAUCCAUUGAAUGCCUUGUUAACUUGUCAAAUAAAUUUCACACCCUGUCACAUCUGACAGAUUUAUUGUGCCAAUUUAUGCAUGAUGGCUUUCAGGCAAGUGUUUAGUUUGGUUUAUUUUUCUUCACAGGAUUUGUUUUGUAAGGCCACAGACUGUGCGAUGACUUGUAUGUGAGUUGUUUGGUAUCAGCAAGGUCCGACAUUUCAUGAUAUGGAUGCUUUAUUCCCUUAUAUUCAUAGGUUCAUCUGCUUUUAUUAUUUAAUUUAUUAUAAUGAUUAUUCCUGUGAACUUCUACAUGAUGAUAACAACAUUCAUAUUAAUCACCCAUUCACUAAUGCAGGUGAACUUUGAAGAAUGUGUGUGUCUGGGCACUCUAUGAUUUUGUUCAUUAAAACAUUGGUAUGUCCUCCAGGUUGUACUUUAUGAAAAGAAAACAGAAACAUUAUAUCCAUUUCAGUUGUGGAUUUCCUCCCCAUAUCCUAAAGAUCACUUUUUCAUGUUGCUUUCGGGAGCUUUAGAAUAAGAUUCAAUUCUAAAUCUGCUUUUCAGAUCUUCCGCUUUGAGUGAAGUUCUCGCAGACUUUGCGUCCUCAUGCCAGCCUUGCUUGCGAGGUAUAACACCACUGAUCUGUCCUCAGUUUGCCUUAUGUACAGUAUUUUACCCCUAUUAAAUAUGUUUAAAGUCUACUGAAGUUGC